GGUAUAGUUCAACGGUAGAAUAGUUGAUUGCAGCUCAAUUGGUUCCUGGUUCGAAUCCGGGU
rnacentral:tRNA from 1 species